rnacentral:siRNA from 1 species
AUCUGGGAGCUCUCCUGUCACCUC